rnacentral:rRNA from 1 species
GACCUGCGGAAGGAUCAUUACAGUAAAUUGGGUUGUCGCUCAAAGCAGCACGCCCUCCACAUACACACACCUUGUGCACCUUAUUAUCUAUUACAGCCUGUCUCUAAUGCAUGUCUUGAUCAUUCUACGGAAUACAAUACAACUUUCAACAACGGAUCUCUUGGCUUUCGCAUCGAUGAAGGACGCCGCGAAAGUGCGAAACGUAAUGUGAAUUGCAGAAUUCAGUGAAUCAUCGAAUCUUUGAACGCAUCUUGCGCUCCUUGGUAUUCCGAGGAGCAUGCCUGUUUGAGUGUCGUGAACCUAGCUCAAUCCCACUCCUGUGGGCUUGGAUUUGGAUGCUUGCCGUGAGGGGACUGACCUCUUUCGGCUCGUCUUGAAAUGCAUCAGCUGGGUCUGCCACCGAGUUUGGUGGGUGUGAUAAGAAACACUUGUAGCGCCAUUUCUAAACUCGGAGGGUGGAUUGCUUCCAAUGUCAUGUCAUUUGACCUCAAAUCAGGUAGGACUACCCGCUGAACUUAAGCAUAUCAAU